rnacentral:misc_RNA from 1 species
GUCCAUGGUAAGAAGCACAGACUGAUUUCCCUUGACAGCAUCAGCCAUGAGCCUCUGGGCUCGCUCGGAGGAGUUUGCGCUAAGGUAGCUUUGAAUGGCAGAGUAGACCUCGCUGCGCCUGAAACGGUCCCCUGUGUAUUCAUGGAAGGUAAUUUGGAGGUAUGGAUAGAAAAGACCCACCAACUUCUGACCAUAUCUAUCAACAUAGCGGCGAAGUUGAAGGGGAAAAUAUCGCUCAAACAUAGCCCAGGCAAGCAAUAGGCCACCAAUUGCUGAGCCUAGCUGAGUCAACAUCUCUACCACGCUCAUUCUGCUUCUUUGGGCUUAAAAUUAUUAUUAGCUGGAAGGAUAGAGAGCCACACUUGCGCUGUGUGUGGAUACAAUAGGAAGAAUUAAAUAUUAGAAUAAAGC